CUUGCGGGGCGGGUUGCGCUCAACUUUCAGCCAUUCAAAAGUUGCCUCCGCAGCCUGGCCCCUCGCUGCCCGCCGACGAGCCCGGGGGGGAAUCCCUCCUGCCGCUCGGGCUGGGCCCGGAGAUCUUCUCGCUAGGGAAUCUGGUGGGUGUCCCAUCAGCCGAGCUCCAAAGGGCGAUCCAGGCGGGCGCACAAGCUGGCGAUGCGGAGAAGAGGUGGCGGCGCUGGCAGGGAGGAGGAAGCCGAUGUCCUUCGCAAAGUCUCUCUCUGGACAAACACACAAGAGGGAUGAGAAAGAAGAGGCUCCUUUCUCUCUCUCUCCCGGCUGCCAGAAAUAGACACAGCCGGCCCGCUUCCCUCCCCUUGGCUGGAAUCUCUCUUGGGAAGUUGAAGGUGAGUGAAUCGAUCGGUUUUUAUUCUGCCCGCUGCUGCAUCUUCUCGGGCUCGGCUUCUCUCCUGCAGGAGCAGCUGCUGCUCUUUCCUUUUCCCCUGCCUUCUCCCUCCCGAAAGUGGAUCUCGGUGAUGCUAAAUGUCUGACCAUAAGAGCCGCUUCAUCUUAAUUUAGCUGAUUAAAUUUACAAUUACUUCUGCAGUGAAAAUGGAUGACUCCCCAACCCCCCUCCCUGCUGCUCAGUGGGGGAUGCAUUACAGUGUUAAGGAAUAAAAAAAAAUCCUGGCCUCUCUACACAUUGUUGGAUUCCUAUAUAGCAUAACAGUCAGAGAUGAAUAGUGUGCAGCUCUUUGUCAACUCCGAAUCUGAUGCAGAUGGGCCUGAAAUGUCAUACACUGGGUGUGAGCAGAAGAGCAACUAUUGGAGAGAGAAAAAAUGGGUCAGAAAAACUACACAACACUCGUGCAACCUCUGUUAUGCUACGAGGCUAAAAAAGGAACUGAGAGCUAUAUUUUCCCUGACAGAAGAGGAACUUGCUGUAUUUCCUGACCUAUAGCUUUGCUCUGUUCCAUUCCAAAUAUGAAAAGACCAGUCUCUUCUCCUGAGUGUUGGGGUAAGCUGGGAGCGAGCCCAGCAAAUGUCAAGUUGAUCUGGUGAUGUCAUAGUGGGAAGCACGUUUCUUCUGUACAAAUAGUCCUCAGUUAACAAUGGUAAUUGAGAAUGGAAUUUCCGUCCCUAAGCAAAUGUGGUUAUAAAGCAUGAUGUUAUGUGAGUGCAUCACUUAGCAAUGGCAAUCUCAGCAGUCCCUAUUGCUGAGGUUAAUUGAAUCCCACAGGUUAUUAGGUGAGGACCCAUCUCAAUCUAGGCCAGUGAUGGCAACCCUUUUUGGCACUGAGUGCUGAAAAGGGAGGGUGUGUGUGCAACGCAUGCGUGGGAGAUGCGCCCCGGAAGAGAAACUGCCUAGUGGGCAUGUAUGCUCCAGGAAAUGAACUUCUGAUUUCCGGCACACGCAUGCACCCCGGCCAGCUUGUCUUAUGGUUACUGGGGUGCAUGCGCACAUGACGAUCAGCUGGGUGGCACGCAUAUGCACAACGGAAAAUGGAAGACCAGCUCUUCCAGUUUCCAGCACUGACGCAUGUGCAAAAAUCAGCUGAUCAACACACCCGUAUGCACGCCAGAAACCAGGGAGAGGAUUGGGCGAUGCUGCACAUGCCAGCCCCCCCCCCACACACACACACGUGCCAUAGGUUCACCAUCACAGAUCUAGGCCAUUCCUGACUUGGUCUGUCCCAGCCCCAAGGGACUUCCUCUUUUGCCUACUGUUGAAUUCCACGCCCUCCCCACCUGUCCCCCACCAACUCUUCCCUUUAAGCCACUCACCUACCUGCUACUGCCAGCUGCCCCACUGCCCAAUUCUGUCAUUCCACCUACUGUACUGCCCCCUACAACCAUACUUGCUGGAACCUUCUUUCACCCCAUUGCCUUUUGCAUUAGGUCAGAUGGGGUUAUUUGCACUCUGUUCGGAAGCUCCAUUUACGCCCUAGCUGUGGCUUCCAUUUGUGCCUCACUGAGGGCUGGAAAGGAUCUUCUUCAAUGCUGGCACAGCCAGGUCCUUUCCCACAGAGGGCUUCUUUUGUGAAAGAAAGCUCAGGUGGGGGCUUGAAUGGAGGUCCUGGCUGGCUGGUGUGCAAAUGCUGUGGUGGGUAUGGCCAGGCAGUGGGGGAAGUUAGCAGCAGUGGGUAAGUGAGUAGCCAAAAGGUGGUCAUAAGGGUAGGUGGGCACAAGUGGGCCUACAUUUUAUUCAUAUGACAGUAGAGAUGUUGAUGGAACUUCAGCAACUUCAGUUGUAAGUCCCUUCAUUCAGUGCAGAGGUGGUAUUCAGCCAGUUCUCUCUGGUUCAGGUGAGCUGGUAGUGGCGGCUGCGGGAGGUUCCGCCUACCCAUCCCGACAUAAUGCGCGAGCACUGCGCAUGCACAGAAGUAAUGCCCAUUUACAUUUGCGAACUGGUAGGGAAGGGAAGUGAAUCCCACCGCUGAUUCAGUGCCUUUCUAACUCCAAAUGGCUGUUGAAUGAGUGAAUGUUAAGUGAGGACCAUCUGUAUAAUGUGGAACUGUCAUUGCAUAUUUUUGUUUUUAUUGUUGCUAUUUUUUUUUUAAUCAGAUUGGUGGCCGGAUAAAUCUUUGACAUGAAUGAAUAAUGAGGGCUACUGAGUAUGUGUGUUUUAACAUCCUAUUCUAAAAACACAAGAUGUGAAAGUGUUCAUAUACAUUUAGCCUGAAUUGUUACAUUCAGUGGGCUUACUCCCACCUGUUCAUAAAAUUACAACUGAAAUAAACAUGUUUUCACGACAA